UUAUUUUUUUCAAAAAAAAAAUAUUAUUUUUAAUAUAAUAUAUUUUUUAUUAUUCAUUUAUAUAUUUAUUUUUUUUAUAAAUAUAUAAUUAUAUGUUUUUUUUAAUAAUUACUUUAUUAAACAAUUUUUUGUGUUUCUUCCUAUAAUUCAUUAUAAUUAUAUUAUAUUAUAUUAUAUUUUUCUUCUUCUCUUUUUUUUUCUUUUCAUAUAUAUAAUAUUUCUUCUGAUCAUCUUCUUCGCUUAUAAUUAUAAUUUUAUAUUUUCAUUAAAUCGAUUGAAUAUUUUUCUUUUCUUUUAUAAUAUGUUCGGUAGAUAUAUGUCAGAUUUUCGUACGAUAUUAUGAUUUUCUCCUUAACAAAAUAAUCCUGUAUUCAUUUAAAUAAUGCUUUUUCAUAAAUCCUUAAUCAGUAAGUUCUAUAAAGAUCAUUGUUAUAAUUUUUAUAAGUUCUUCUGGUUUGUUUCUCUAUUUUAUGUAUUAUAUUUUCUUUUGUCCUUAUGAAUGUUGAACGUAUUUUAAAAAAAAUGUUUUUCUUUUUUUUUUUUUUUUUAAGAUACCUUUAAAACUAUAAUAUUACCAAUCAUUAUGUUACUUCCUGUUCAUUAUUUCUGUCUAUGAAUUGUUCUAAAAUAUUGUUCUUUUCCAAUAUUGGAAUAAAUAUUUUUAUAUUUAAUUAUUUAUUAUAUCUUAUUUUAUUUUUUUUUAUUUCUUUGGGUGUUCGAAUGAAAUAUGUAUUGCAUUAAAAUAAAUAAGAGAUUCAUCUUAUGAUUUAUUAAUUAAAAUAUAUAUAUAUAUAUAUAUAUAUAUAUAUAUAUAAUAAUUAUAUGAAUUAUAAUUACGAAAUAUUUCAAGUGUCAUGAAUAUUAAAUAUAUAUUUGAAAUUUAUGCAUGGCUUAUGUAUUAUCAAGUGAAAUGUAUAAAUCCGUGAUACAAUUCUCUUAAACAAAUUCGUACUUUUCUAAAUCAUAUUCAUGUAUAUAUAUUUCAAGCACAUCUCAUUAUAUGCUAAGCAAUUUUUUUUCCUUCCAUAAUCGCAAUAAGCUAACUUUUUUCUUUUCUUUUCCUUUCCUUAUUUUUAUUUAGUUCAAUAAUAUCUUCGUAAGAUAUUUUGUAUAAUAAGCUAUAAUUUUCUUUUUAUAUAAUUAUUUUGUCUUUAUAAGAAAAAGAAAAAAAAAAUACCAUUUGUAUACAAAAUAAAUUAUUAAAUUAAAUCAUGUU